rnacentral:rRNA from 1 species
CCCUUAGAUGUUCUGGGCUGCACGCGUGCUACACUGAUAUUGCCAAUAUGUCAUUCUUAUCCGAAAUGGAUUGGGUAAUCAAGUAAUGGAAUUUCAUGCUUGGAAUCGGUAAUUGCAAUUUUAUCGUGAACGAGGAAUUCCUAGUAAGCACUAGUCAUCAGCUAAUGUUGAUUAUGUCCCUGCCCUUUGUACACACCGCCCGUCGCUACUACUGAUUGGGUGUUCAAGUGAGAUGCUUAGACCCUUGUUGCAUGGUUCAUUAUUGUGCUCCGAAAGGAAAAAGUUUCAAGCUUGAGUGUCUAGAGGAAGUAAAAGUCGUAACA